GUCUUAUAUGUUGUGGAGAAAUUAAAAGGGAAUCAGGUGCGAAUCCUGAACAGCUCCCGCUGCUGUAAGUCCCAUUUGUAUAGCGUUUUAUAUGCUGUGCAUAUGUUUGCAGAGAAAUAAUUGCCACUGAGAUUGGCUUGCCUUUGGCUUCAAAGGCUACUCGGGAAGGCUCUCUGCAAGGGAUAAGUCAGAAGACCUGCCUUGUAGUUU
rnacentral:ncRNA from 1 species